AAAAAAAAUAUCUUUUUAUUAUAAUAUAGAGAAGAGAUUAAAACACCAGAUCUGAACACAGAAUAAUAAUAACCAAAUAAAGAAUCUUGUUUAAAAAAAAGAAACAUGGUAGGCUACUGACUUAUCUCUAUAUGAAAAACUAUAGACUGCACAAAAAUCAUCCUGUCAUAUCAAAAUCCGUUUAAAUAUUCUGAAUAAUUUGCACUUUCUUAUAUAUUUAAGUAUGUAGCACUGCAUGUUUUAAUUUGGCACAAGUUUUACUUUCAACUGAAAAGCAACAGCACUUCAGUUUUUAAUUUCAGUGGGUCUAUAGUAUAUAAAUAUAUGUAAAUACAUAUUACAGAGCAAGAGAAAACACGUGGGCAGUGGUAAAGCUAAUUAAAGAAGAAUAUUUUGCCGAGGUAGCGGUUAAGCAAAGGAGGGAAACCCGCUUUCAGCUGUUUUGACUCCACUGUAAACUUUCUCAACGACACGCCCCACGGAAUCCCCGACACACUGGAGCUUUCUUCGUCGCUAUGUCUUGAUAACCGGUCGGAGCAGAGAUUCACAUUGGCCGUUGUCUAUUGUGGAUCAUCAUCUUGUUGGGAGCUGAACUGAGAAUGUCACAUAAGAACAGACCAGUGCUGUGGGCCACCAGGACCAGGACUCGAAAUGACUGAUUUUAGAGAUGCAGUUUGUGCUGUGACUGGAGUUUGUGUGGUACUGGCAGAACAAUGAAUAGGAAAAUGUGUUUAUUUGCAUUUCAGUUCAAACGGCCCAAUUUCGCUCCUCGCUUUUGGUUGUUUUCAUGGAUUCAUUUGGCUUUAUGCAAAAAAUAAAGCUUUAAACCAUUUUCCCGGUUUGGCACUACUUCAGA